AGUGGAUACUGAAAAGCAGAUGAAGCUGGUGUUACUUGAUUGCUUGUGCCCGUGUUUGGGUGAAUAGAGGCACGAGCCCCCGGCAGCCUGCAUGUUAAGCUGACUCUGUGUCUCUUUGCCAUUCAUGCUUGUUCACCCCAGGUCAGGGACAACAAAGUAGCAGGUCCAGGUCCCAGAACGCGGACAGCAACAGUGGGUCUCCUACAGCUGGCACCUUGAACAGGGAGAGGGGACGCCUUCAGCUAUAUGAUCUGUUUCACAACAACGGACAGGAUGGAGCCCAGUAUGCGGAUUGUCAGUGGGUGUCUGUGACCCUGAUGUGGACUGCUCUGGACGUUGUUUAUCAGAGUGAUUCUGAAGAGGGAAGCCAAGCCCGAGCUUCAUUGCUGGAGAAUAGCGUGACUUGGCUCCACUCCUGCCCACGGAAACAUGCCUGGACUAUCAACUAGACUGUAC
rnacentral:lncRNA from 1 species